rnacentral:rRNA from 1 species
AUUGAACGCUGGCGGCAUGCUUUACACAUGCAAGUCGAACGGCAGCGCGGGCUUCGGCCUGGCGGCGAGUGGCGAACGGGUGAGUAAUACAUCGGAACGUGCCCAGUAGUGGGGGAUAGCUCGGCGAAAGCCGGAUUAAUACCGCAUACGACCUGAGGGUGAAAGCGGGGGAUCUUCGGACCUCGCGUUAUUGGAGCGGCCGAUGGCAGAUUAGCUAGUUGGGGGGUAAAGGCCUACCAAGGCGACGAUCUGUAGCUGGUCUGAGAGGACGACCAGCCACACUGGGACUGAGACACGGCCCAGACUCCUACGGGAGGCAGCAGUGGGGAAUUUUGGACAAUGGGCGAAAGCCUGAUCCAGCAAUGCCGCGUGUGUGAUGAAGGCCUUCGGGUUGUAAAGCACUUUUGGCGGGAACGAAAAGGACUGUGCCAAUACCACGGUUCGAUGACGGUACCCGCAGAAUAAGCACCGGCUAACUACGUG